AUCAGAGUAGGAGAUAAAGCGUUAAGUGCUGAAAGGAUGGGAUGUUGCCUUUCGGACGAAGGACAAAGAUGUUCGCGGUUUUAUCUUCGCAUUCGCUGCA
rnacentral:ncRNA from 2 species